GCCGGGGUCUCCUAGCCAGGUAGGGAGCAGGCCUGGAGAGCCUGUGGCCUCUCGGGGCCGCGUGGGUUCAAAUCCCACCCCCGGCGCCA
rnacentral:tRNA from 1 species